rnacentral:lncRNA from 1 species
GAUCCAAUUGAUAGAUCUCUAGAUAUCAUAGAAAUCCUAUCCAACCUCAAACUGCCAACUUCCAAAAUCCUCUUGUGCUAAAAACUAGAUAUCUCUAAACCAUGCCGUUAGAUUAUCACAAAAUUUUGUAUACACUUAGCCCACCUAAUAAUCCAAACAAUAUCAAAUUUUCAACCAUAGAUGUUAUACCAAUUGCACGAAUUAGCCAAAAUUGCUAGCCCUAAUUAUAUUAUAUAAAACCCAAAUCUCCAAUACAAACCCAAACUUUGAACAAAAAUUGCUAAGUCCUCCAAAAUCCUCCAAAAACAAUCCUUAUGCCUU